GAACAACAAAACGUAAAGUUGGGGAAUCUUGUAUACAAAGUGCAAAUGCAUUUAAAUGAGGAGAAAAAGGCACGAAAUCGAAAUAAUUAUUUACAGGGAUUUAUAUGCUGUACUCAAAAUUACCAACCAGACAAAUAUCAAGAACGACAAUCCCUUUCAGAUGACAAUGAAACCUGUUACAUUAAAUGGAAAAUAGAAACAGCAGAUAAGACGAAAAUGGAAAAAGUAGUACCUGAAUUAAAAAUGGCGGCUGAUUACAUGGAAGCACCUUUCAGAAUUGAAUUUGUUCAUAUUGGUUCCCUCAUUCUUGGCACUACAGUCAAAAUUCGUAUUCUUCAAAACAACAAGGUUUUGCGACGUGCAGUGAAAAAGCUUUUGAAGGAAAUACAGUUUUUUGGCGAAAUCAACACAAAUUACAAGGCCGUGUUCAAGGUUGAGGCAUUUCAGUUGGAUAAGGAGA